rnacentral:lncRNA from 1 species
CUUAGGAGAGAAGCAUUUUUCUUCUGGUAGUUUGGAGGGCAAGAACGGGAAAAGAGCAUCUCCAGCAAGUUAGAAGAGGGAGGUUUUCAUUUUUUUUGGGAAGCAAGUCGUUGGAGAUAUCGGGAGAGGGGUGAAGAACUCUAGAGAGAGAGAGGGGAUAGGAAGAGAGAGUGAGAGUUUACCAGAUGGAACAGAGAGCUUGAGAGAGGGAACCAUCAUUCUCAGGUUGCUUUGAGAGGAAAGAGGGUUAGAAGAAAGGGAGAAAACCAGAGUUUUGUGGGGGGGAUUUUCGAGCUGCAGCAAGGGAAGAAGGAGAUUUCAUUGCCGGAGAAGAAGGACUUUCUGAAAGCAUAUUUUAUUCUUUUUGCCAGUGAGGAGGCUUUUCAG